GACAGAGGGUGCAAACGUUGUUCGGAAUUACUGGGCGUAAAGCGCGUGUAGGCGGCUAUGCAAGUCGGGCGUGAAAUCCCACGGCUCAACCGUGGAAGUGCACUCGAAACUGCGUAGCUAGAGCCCCGGAGAGGAAGGUGGAAUACUUGGUGUAGAGGUGAAAUUCGUAGAUAUCAAGUGGAACACCGGUGGCGAAGGCGGCCUUCUGGACGGUGACUGACGCUGAGACGCGAAAGCGUGGGGAGCAAACAGG
rnacentral:rRNA from 1 species